CCCCCCCCCCCCCCCGGGAGAGCUCAGGGGGCAGGGGCCUCCAGGGAGCACAUGGCUGACUUCACCAUGGUGUGCCAGGCUCUCGCUGCUGGUGACAGCCUGGUUGGCCGUCAUUCAUCUAGAAGAAUGAAUGAACAUCGUAUUAAGCACUCCUUGCUGUUGAAGUAGAUCUCCUCAGAGUUCUCACUAAUCAGACACAGGACUGCUUAAGGUCUGGAAAGACCAUUUCCGAAGACUGGUCAAAUGAAAAAGUGCUUUCAACCCCCGCAAACAAGAGGUGGUUCCUAUUCGUUUGGCUGAACUAAAUCACUUCUCAUAUUGAUGGGUAGCAAGCUCUGUUCCAGUCAGAACAAGAGGCAAAGAAUACUGCAGCUUUACAAAUCAGAUGCAGCCAAACAUCGGAAGGAUCAUUCUGAAAACACUAACUGGCCUCAACAGAAGGCUGGCAAGGGAUGGACAGCUCACCAUCACCACAUGGACGCCACGAUCUGGUUUCUAACACAUCUCGAGAGUCUGAAAAACUGCUUUCCUGUCGCAGCAAGAUCUUGGAUACUCAAUGUAAACAGACAGGAAACUCUAAAAUCAGCCAUGCUUCUAACAAUGAGCCUAAAACACCAAGUUAAAAAACCCAGUGCAACCCUUAGACACACCUAGAGUUAAACCCUAACAUUUUCUCUGUUUCACCUGGUAGACUCUUCCUCAGACUUUCUGUAGCAUUACACUCAUUUUCAACCAAAGAUCAGGUUAGCUGAAUUGCUUGCUGCCUUUCCCUGUCUCUUCUUGCCUAUGUUACGCCCUUACUGGAUUCAAUUCUAAGUUACCUGUUUACUUGUUUCCCACUCUAGACUGUUUAGGUGUAGAAAGAGAACAGGUUCUAUUCAUCUUUGUAACUCCAGAACCUAGGGCAGCACCUCGCAAAUCUAUUUCCUAAAUGGUGAGUCAAAGAAUGAACUAAUCGGAGCCAUUCCUGGAGCAUGCCAUGCGCUUUCAUGCCUUUGCUCAUGCCGCUUCCUUUCCUAGGAUGCCCCCGACUGCGUGCCCGCAUUAGUCCCUGACUUGUAAGACUGGAGAACCUGGAGGCUCAAGUCCUUCCUUACUCGACCUCAUACAGGACGAAAUGCCACUUCUCUGUGCUCCCUCAAGCCGUAUUCAUGUCUCGAGUGGGCCCUUCCACUUUUCACACUGGAUCAUGUGGUCAGA